rnacentral:sRNA from 10 species
CCAUCCAAACUGAUUUUAAAACUCCCCAACUUAAUUUCAAACGAAUUCAAACUGCCAUAUAACUCAAAUGAAAAUCUAUAGCCACCGCGUCAGUCACUUUCCCCAAAUCUCUCAACCUGUCUUCCCUUUUUUCUGCCGACAAUAGAGGGUUCUUGCUGCCGAUCUCCGUGUGGUGCUCACUUUCCCUAAAUCUCCUUCCUUGUGCGGAGAGUAGAGGCUUGUUGCUGCGAAAUCUCUCUGCUUGGGUUCUUGUUGUUUUGCCAAGCGUAGAGUCUUGUUGCUGCCGAUCUCCAUGCGUUGCUCACUUUUUCUGGUGAGUUCUUGGACCGGAUCUUGCUGCUGAGCCUAUUUGCCGAGCAUAGAGUUCUUGUUUUGCCGAGGGUAGAGUCUUGUUGUCGAGCCUAUUUACUACAAAUCUUGGACCGGAUCUUUGUGCAAACAAGAUUAAAUAGAGUGCCACGUAAUGAUGAUGGGGGAGACAUGGACUCUCAGGGUCGUCUUUCAAUUUUCACUCAUCUUGGGUGAGCUUUUGGUCCAUUAGAUAAAUCUCGAUUUUUAGAUGAGGAUGAGUUUUAUGCUGCUGAGCUAUAUGUUUUAAUGAAUUGUGAAGAGAUGCUCCCAUAUAUAAAGAUGUUUGAUGAAAUGAUCAAGGGAGAUGUUAUGCAUAUAUCGGAAGAUGAAUUGGAGAAAGUAUGUGAUGCAAGAUUCGUUAAAUGGUUUAAAAAUUAUGUUGCAACACGUAUGGAUGAAAUUGACCCACGUAUACUUGAAAUCUCUCAUGGUCCAAGACGUAUGAUAAGGUGUUACAAAGAAUACUUUGUAAAUAGUUUCAAGUUUCACACCUUAGAUUACGACCAAAAUCGUAAGACAAUGAAUAGUGGGGUUGCAUAAAAUGGAGUUUUUACAAUGAUUAUGAGCAUGACUUUUAUGGUAUUUUAGUGGAUAUAAUCGAGUUGGAGUAUUUUGGUAUCGAAAAUAAAGUUGUGCUAUUUAAGUGUCAUUGGUUUGACAAUGAAAAAGGUAUUAAGGUAGAUCCUUUGCAUGGUCUUGUUGAUAUUAAAUACAAUUCAAUACUUGCCAGUAAUGAACCAUUUGUUUUAGCUGCACAAGCUCAUCAAGUUUAUUAUAGUAGUUAUCCAUCAAGGAAAAGAGAUUGACAUGAUUAGUGGGCAGUAUUUAAAACAAAAGUUAAGAGUAGAUUUCACAUUCCUAGUAGUAGAGAUAGAGAAAAUGAAAUUGAUUUGAAUGAAGAAGUAUACCAACAACAUGUGUCUAUUUCAAUUAAUGGUAUUCCAUCGGAAGAACUUGAUAACUUUACAGUUUUAGCAAGUGGUAAUUAUGAAGAGGUUAAUCUCUUGAUUGAGGAUGAAGAAGAUGACAUGCAAAGAGAUGAAGAUGAAGAAAAUGACAUGGAAGGAGAUGAAAAUGAAGAUGACCAUGAAGAAGAAGAUGAACUUGAAGACGACACUUGUGAAGCUUUUAGUGAUGAUAGUGAUAAUAAUAAAGAACAUGAGUUUGCUUAUUUUGAAAGUGAUUAA